rnacentral:rRNA from 1 species
AUGCACGCUGGCGGCGUGCUUAACCCAUGCAAGUCGAACGGAAAGGCUCCUGCUUGCAGGGGUACUCGAGUGGCGAACGGGUGAGUAACACGUGGGUGAUCUGCCCUGCACUUCGGGAUAAGCCUGGGAAACUGGGUCUAAUACCGGAUAGGACCACAUUUUGGAUGGUGUGGUGGAAAGUUUUUCGGUGUGGGAUGAGCUCGCGGCCUAUCAGCUUGUUGGUGGGGUAAUGGCCUACCAAGGCGUCGACGGGUAGCCGGCCUGAGAGGGUGUACGGCCACAUUGGGACUGAGAUACGGCCCAGACUCCUACGGGAGGCAGCAGUGGGGAAUAUUGCACAAUGGGCGCAAGCCUGAUGCAGCGACGCCGCGUGGGGGAUGACGGCCUUCGGGUUGUAAACUCCUUUCGCUAGGGACGAAGCGCAAGUGACGGUACCUGGAGAAGAAGCACCGGCUAACUACGUG